rnacentral:rRNA from 1 species
CAAUAGCAUAUAUUAACGUUGUUGCAGUUGAAAAGCUCGUAGUUGAACUUUUGGUAGGAGCGACCUGGCCUUGGGCGCAUGCCCUUGUUUGCCGUGUGUCGUAUCUGGCCAUCCUUUUCUUCUUUUUGGAAGGAAUCUUUUACUGUGAGUAAACUGGAGUGCUCAAAACAAGACGUUUGUUUGGUACAUUAAAGCAUGGAAUAAUAAGAUAGGACCUGGUUACUAUUUUGUUGGUUUGCGUAGCUAGGUAAUGAUUAACAGGGACAGUUGGGGGUAUUCGUAUUUAAUUGUCAGAGGUGAAAUUCUUGGAUUUAUGAAAGACGAACGACUGCGAAAGCAUUUACCAAGGAUGUUUUCAUUAA